rnacentral:lncRNA from 1 species
AUGAACAUCAUGCUGUGCUGCUGCUGAGUGCUUGUGGAUAAAUAAGGAUCUUUUUCUUUCUGUAAAAGAAGCUAAAAGGCUCCAUUCCUCACUUUGGCCCAUAUUAGAGAGACUCGGACAGUCCUGGAGCACGGGAUACUCUUGCUUUAUUCCUGCAUUCCUUAGGCUGGUUGUGGGGUGAGCUCCUGAACGCAGUGCCAGGGCCUGGCAGUGGGGCAUCCUCUGUGCUCACAGUUUGGGGUUUCUCCCUGCAAACAGGGCAGGGUGGUGCUGGUGAAACAGGUGCCCCGUUAGCACAGCUCUCGGUGCGUCGUUAAGAAUGGAUCUGGCGUUGCACCCUGAAGGGUCCCAGGACUGCGCACAAAAAGGGGCCGUGUUCUGCUGUCCUCUCUCAGGCUGGCAGCCCUCUUGAAGUUGCUCCAUGAGCGGGAUUAGGUGGAUUUGUCCCCAAAUAAACAGAACUCAGGAUGGUUUUCUAGAAGGGCUAACAUGGUGAUUCAUUGUGCUAUAAAGAACCCAAGCAGAGGCAGGCAAUGAGCUGGAGCCAUUCCUUUUCUACCACGCUUUAUGAGCCAUGAAUAUUUUGAUUCCUUUGGUGUCAUUGUUUGCGCGUAUCUGUAUCUGUGUCUGGUGUAACCCAAUGAAAAUAAUAUAUAUUUUUUCAAGCUCUGUGCGUGCUGUUGGCUGCACGCAGUGGGAAGGCAGUCCCAAAGGCGUUUGAUCAGGUUGUGCACAAGUGUCUCAGAGCUACAGCACCAGGAAUUAAGUUCCUUUAGUAACUCUGCUGGCUGCAAAGCCCUCAUUCCCAAAGCGGUGGUGGGCUGCAGCAUUGUGUUUGCAUCUCUUCUUUUGUUUUUUUUCCAUACAGUGUUCCCAGAUUAAACAUAUUACACACUAACUAACUGCAGCUUUUUCAGCCGAGCCUAACUUUUGGAUAAGCCAUCCCCUCUAUUGAUGCUUUCGGCACGACCAAACUAUAUGGAAAGCACCUCUGCAGAGACGCGCGCUUGUUUUGGACAGGCAAAACUCUAGAGGAAGCUUUAAAUUCUUUGCAGAAAUCUAAUUGUAUCGGGCAGAAGGAAAGAAUUUGCGUCGUGUUGACUUAUCUGUGCCUUCAUCCCUGGAGCUGAGCCAUUUGGUUCACCUCGCCGUGCCGUUUGCAUGCUUUAAAAACACGCUGUGUGCCCCGCGAGUGCUGCUCAGCACAGUGCUCGGAGGGCUGUAACAGUGCACAGAGGGAGCGAGGGCCGUCCUGCUGAAGGCUGUAUCAGAGGCUUGCAGGGAUGGAAGGCAGCAGCGUAGCUUUGUGUUACGAUGCGGGCAAAGGAGCAAAGGAGCAGGAACUGUGCCUUGAAGAUUCUCCCUGCGCCUUCAGGAGGAUGCUGGGCUGAGCCAAAAUCAAAGCGCUCUGCUGUGCUCGCGCUGUGCUGCUGAGGAGUUGGUUUCAGAGGAGUUCCCUCAGCCGGUCAGAGAUCUCAGCAUCUGUUGCAGCCGGGAUGCAUUCCUUGAUCGUUUCUGAGUCUGCCAUUAUUUUUCUGCCUGCCCAGUGUCCCAGGGACGUGAAACGAAGCCGCUGCGCUUUGCUGCCGAGCACUGAAACUCUGCACCAACAUUCAAUUUGAUCUCUCGGAACUGACUGCAAUAAAGUGGUUUCGUCAGCACACACUUGUGAUAAAAAGGCGACACGAAGAAAGCCAGCGAGCUGAAAGGCCCUGCGUUUUCCUGGGAAGACAAUAGGAUAUCUGGCUCUUUAUUUGUUUCGUGGAUUCCUUGUGCAGCCAUUUAAAUUCAGCCGAAGGCUCCAAAUGUCUAAACUUUAUCCUGGGCAUUUUAUUUAUUUUUUUUUCAGUGCUGGAAAGGAAUAGAGUUAAGUGUCCCAAGGGGAGUUUUAUAGAAAAUGCUAUGUGCAAUGUUAAUGAGUUGGGAAGGGGUCGUAUGUUUUUUCAUAUAGAGCCUAUGCAGGAACAAAUAUGGAACCGGAGGAGAAACCAUCUGCAGGGACCCAGUGAGGUGUGCCAGCGGGUGAUCCUGGGCUGCUGUCACCCCUAAAUGAUGAACAAAAGACUUCAAUCCCAAGAGCCCCCCGUGCCCCUGCAUGGCUCUGUGCUGGGCUGGGUGAAUAGCCGGGGCUGGAAGAAAUGACAAACUUCUUGGGUGCCACAAGAGAUUGCUUCAGCGUUACUGAUCCUCACUCUGCUCGUUACUGAAAAUGCAUCCAGCAGCUAUAUGGGUCAGACUGCUAAAUUUGUAGACACGGAGUGUCAGGAAGCCUUUUUGUCAACUUCGUACCGUUUAGUAUAUUUGUCCUCAAGUUCAAAGCAAUCCUGGCCCCAGACUUGUGAUAUUUUCUGCCCUUUCCCCUUUCUGUUGACUCAGGCCUCUUCCCUUUGAGGUCAACAUCAAAAUAAAGAUGUAUGUUUCCUCAGCCUG